GAUGAAGAACGUAGCGAAAUGCGAUAAGUAAUGUGAAUUGCAGAAUUCAGUGAACCAUCGAAUCUUUGAACGCACAUUGCGCCCCCUGGCAUUCCGGGGGGCAUGCCUGUCCGAGCGUCAUUUCUGCCCUCCAGCCCGGCUGGGUGUUGGGCGCUGUCCCCCCGGGGACACGCCCCAAAGGCAGUGGCGGCGCCGCGUCGGGUCCUCGAGCGUAUGGGGCUUUGUCACCCGCUCGGGACGGACUCGUCGGCGCUGGUCUUCCUCCAGGCGACCCUUCGGGGCUCGUCUUCCUUCGGUUGACCUCGGAUCAGGUAGGGUUACCCGCUGAACUUAAGCAUAUCAAUAAGCGGAGGA
rnacentral:misc_RNA from 1 species